ACCUAGCUGGCUCAGUGGGAAGAGCAUGGGACUCUUGAUCUCAGAGUGUGGAUUCAAGUCCCAUGUUGGGAG
rnacentral:tRNA from 1 species